rnacentral:rRNA from 1 species
GUCGAGCGAGAACCAGGGCUUCGGCUCUGGGGACAGCGGCGAACGGGUGAGUAACACGUGGGUAAUCUGCCCUCGGCAUCGGGAUAGCCCGGGGUAACCCGGAUUAAUACCGAAUAGCCUCCGGAGCCUUCGGGCGUCGGGGAAAAGGUAGCUUCGGCCUCUGGCCGAGGAUGAGCCCGCGGCGGAUUAGCUCGUUGGCGGGGUAACGGCCCACCAAGGCGACGAUCCGUAGCUGGUCUGAGAGGACGAUCAGCCACACUGGGACUGAGACACGGCCCAAACUCCUACGGGAGGCAGCAGUGGGGAAUAUUGGACAAUGGGCGCAAGCCUGAUCCAGCCAUGCCGCGUGAGUGAUGAAGGCCUUAGGGUUGUAAAGCUCUUUCACCGGUGAAGAUAAUGACGGUAACCGGAGAAGAAGCCCCGGCUAACUUCGUGCCAGCCGCCGCCGUAACAC